UUUGGAUCAAUGAUGCAACCAUUUAAUUGUUAUCUUUCUGAAAUACCUAUAGUGGGUUGAAGACAACUACAAUAUAGUGAGAUCUAUA